rnacentral:rRNA from 1 species
UGAGGAAUAUUGGUCAAUGGCCGAGAGGCUGAACCAGCCAAGUCGCGUGAGGGAAGAAUGUCCUAUGGAUUGUAAACUUCUUUUAUAAAGGAAUAAAGUCGGGUAUGGAUACCCGUUUGCAUGUACUUUAUGAAUAAGGAUCGGCUAACUCCGUGCC